rnacentral:rRNA from 1 species
UACAGAGGGUGCAAGCGUUGCUCGGAAUUAUUGGGCGUAAAGAGCUCGUAGGCGGUGUGUCGCGUCGGCCGUGAAAACCUGCAGCUUAACUGUGGGCGUGCGGUCGAUACGGGCAUCACUGGAGUUCGGCAGGGGAGACUGGAAUUCCUGGUGUAGCGGUGAAAUGCGCAGAUAUCAGGAGGAACACCGGUGGCGAAGGCGGGUCUCUGGGCCGAUACUGACGCUGAGGAGCGAAAGCGUGGGGAGCGAACAGG